UGCAGUCGAGGGGUAACGAUGUCUUCGGACAGGCGACGACCGGCGCACGGGUGAGUAUCGCGUUUGUAACCUACCUUUAACUGGAGAAUAGCCCGAAGAAAUUCGGAUUAAUACUCCAUAAUACUAUGAUCUGGCAUCUUUUUAUAGUUAAAGCUCCGGCGGUUAAAGAUGGACAUGCGUAACAUUAGUUUGUUGGUGAGGUAACGGCUCACCAAGACUACGAUGUUUAGGGGGUCUGAGAGGAUGGUCCCCCACACUGGUACUGAGACACGGACCAGACUCCUACGGGAGGCAGCAGUGAGGAAUAUUGGUCAAUGGGCGCAAGCCUGAACCAGCCAUGCCGCGUGAAGGAUGACGGCGCUACGCGUUGUAAACUUCUUUUGUACAGGAAGAAACUCUCCUACGUGUAGGAGCUUGACGGUACUGUACGAAUAAGCACCGGCUAACUCCGUGCCAGCAGCCGCGGUAAUACG
rnacentral:rRNA from 1 species